AGUGAACGCUGGCGGUAGGCCUAAUACAUGCAAGUCGAACGGCAGCACAGUAAGCGUUCGCCUCUACGGGUGGCGACUGGCGGGUGGGUGAGGCAUACAUAGGCUUCUUCUAUUUCGUGGGGGAUUUCGUAGGGACAGUUCUGCUAACAGCUCAUAUGUUCUACGGGAGAAAGCAGGAGAUCAUCGCAGUCUGCGUGAUUGUAUGAGCUGAUGCCGGAUUACCUAGUUGGGGAGGUAAAGGCCCACCAAGGCGACGAUACGUAGCAGGUCUGAGAGGGUGAUCGGCCACACUGGAACUGAGACACGGUCCAGACUCCUACGGGAGGCAGCAGUGGGGAAUAUUGGGCAAUGGGCGCAAGCCUGAUCGAGCCAUGCCGCGUGAGUGAUGAAGGUCUUCGGAUUGUAAAGCUCUGUUAUUAGGGAAGAAAAGAUGCAGGAUAAUACCCCGCUGUUCUGACGGUACCCAAAGAGUAAGCACCGGCUAACUUCGUG
rnacentral:rRNA from 1 species